rnacentral:rRNA from 1 species
CGUAGGGUGCGAGCGUUAAUCGGAAUUACUGGGCGUAAAGCGUGCGCAGGCGGAAGUGUAAGUUAGAAGUGAAAUCCCCGGGCUCAACCUGGGAACUGCUUUUAAGACUGCAUUUCUAGAGUUUGUCAGAGGGGGGUGGAAUUCCAAGUGUAGCAGUGAAAUGCGUAGAGAUUUGGAGGAACACCGAUGGCGAAGGCAGCCCCCUGGGAUAAAACUGACGCUCAUGUACGAGAGCGUGGGUAGCAAACAGGAUU